UCCUGGGGGUGGAAAGAAUUUUGGUCAAGGAUGGACUCGCGGCCUAUCAGGUAGUUGGUGAGGUAAAGGCUCACCAAGCCGACGACGGGUAGCCGGCCUGAGAGGGUGACCGGCCACACUGGGACUGAGACACGGCCCAGACUCCUACGGGAGGCAGCAGUGGGGAAUAUUGCACAAUGGGCGAAAGCCUGAUGCAGCAACGCCGCGUGAGGGACGAAGGCCUUCGGGUUGUAAACCUCUUUUAGUAGGGAAGAAGCGAAAGUGACGGUACCUGCAGAAAAAGCACCGGCUAACUACGUGCCAGCAGCCGCGGUAAUACGUAGGGUGCAAGCGUUGUCCGGAAUUAUUGGGCGUAAAGAGCUCGUAGGCGGUUUGUCGCGUCUGCUGUGAAAUCUGGAGACUCAACCUCCAGCCUGCAGUGGGUACGGGCAGACUAGAGUGCGGUAGGGGAGAUUGGAAUUCCUGGUGUAGCGGUGGAAUGCGCAGAUAUCAGGAGGAACACCGAUGGCGAAGGCAGAUCUCUGGGCCGUAACUGACGCUGAGGAGCGAAAGCAUGGGGAGCGAACAGGAUUAGAUACCCUGGUAGUCCAUGCCGUAAACGUUGGGAAC
rnacentral:rRNA from 1 species